rnacentral:rRNA from 1 species
UACGUAGGGCGCAAGCGUUGUCCGGAAUUAUUGGGCGUAAAGAGCUCGUAGGCGGUUUGUCGCGUCUGCCGUGAAAGCCCGGGGCUUAACUCCGGGUCUGCGGUGGAUACGGGCAGACUAGAGGCAGGUAGGGGAGAACGGAAUUCCCGGUGUAGCGGUGAAAUGCGCAGAUAUCAGGAAGAACACCCGUGGCGAAGGCGGCUCUCUGGGACGGUACUGACGCUGAGACGCGAAAGCGUGGGGAGCGAACAGG